rnacentral:misc_RNA from 1 species
GCUCCCCUCACUCUCUCUUUCUCUUCCAUUUUCUGCUUAUUUCUUUCAAAACCCUCGUAAACUCUUCGAGCUCUUAAGGCAAAAUGGGUGAAGCAAAAGAAAACGACGCCUACGAGGAGGAGUUGCUCGACUACGAGGAAGAGGUCGAAAAUGCCCCAGACUCCGUCUCCGCUAAGGCCGCUGCUGAAUCUGCUAAGAAGGGCUACGUUGGAAUUCACAGUUCCGGAUUCCGAGACUUCCUGUUGAAGCCAGAGCUUCUACGAGCCAUUGUAGAUUCUGGAUUUGAACAUCCUUCAGAAGUGCAACAUGAAUGCAUCCCUCAAGCUAUACUAGGAAUGGAUGUCAUUUGCCAAGCAAAAUCUGGGAUGGGGAAGACUGCUGUUUUUGUUCUGUCCACUUUGCAGCAGAUUGAGCCUGUUGCUGGUCAAGUUGCUGCACUUGUUCUUUGCCACACAAGAGAAUUAGCAUACCAGAUAUGCCAUGAAUUUGAGAGGUUCAGUACCUAUUUGCC